rnacentral:rRNA from 1 species
AGCGAACGCUGGCGGCAGGCUUAACACAUGCAAGUCGAGGGGAGCGGCAGACGGGUGAGUAACGCGUGGGAACGUACCUUUUGGUUCGGAACCGCACAGGGAAACUUGUGCUAAUACCGGAUACCGAAAGAUCGGCCCGCGUCUGAUUAGCUAGUUGGUGAGGUAAUGGCUCACCAAGGCGACGAUCCGUAGAUGGUCUGAGAGGAUGAUCAGCCACAUUGGGACUGGGAAACGGCCCGAACUAGUGCGGGAGGGAGCAGUGGGUAAUAUGGGCCAAGGGGGGCAACCCUGAGGCAGCCAUGCCGCGUGAGUGAUGAAGGCCGUAGGGUUGUAAAGCUCUUUUGUGCGGGAAGCGGUACCGCAAGAAUAAGCCCCGGCUAACUUCGUGCCAGCAGCCGCGGUAAUAC